ACUUACAGUGUAUCGGAUGGUGUUGUUGUGUUUCCUGUGGGGAGAGCAUUGUCUCUAGGCUCAAAUUAAUGCCACAAGUGGAAGAUACAGCUCAGCUGUUUAUAAACUAAUAUGCAGCAAUUAUGAUAAAACAAAACUCGUUCGGAAAUUCUGCUGUAGCUAUGACAACGGUGUUCAGGGUAUUCUAUUGAAAGCAUAAAAGCAGCGACGGUCGGGAAAGUAAAACAUUUGGAUAUGCAUUAAAAGAAGUUUAUCUGGCCUUGACGCAGCUCUUCGAGAUGCAGUUUUUCAUCUCCUGCAGGCUGGAUGGAGCCAAUCAGAGAUGACAACAGAUAGAGUUCCUGGACCUUUCAGAGAAUGGAGCCUAGCUGGCACCAUUUUAGAUCAACCAGAAACCAGCACAGCAGAAUGCCUUUGUUUUGA